rnacentral:rRNA from 1 species
AAUGAACGCUGGCGGCAUGCCUAACACAUGCAAGUCGAACGACACCUUCGGUUCUAGUAGCUCACGGCUGCGUACCGCCGGGGAAGCUGUACUUAGGUUCGGGUUAACUCCCCGGGAGGGGCGCUACUACAGGCUAAUGUAUACGGCCCAAAGACUUAUCGCCUUUGGGUGGGCCCACGUUGCAUUAGCGAGUUGGUAGGGUAAAAGCCUACCAAGGCGACGAUCCAUAGCUGGUCUGAGCGGAUGGUCAGCCACACUGGGACUGGGAAACGGGCCAGACUCCGACGGGAGGCAGCAGGGGGGAAUAUGGGACAAUGGGCGAAAGCCUGAUCCAGCAGUGCCGCGUGAGUGAUGAAGGCCGUAGGGUUGUAAAGCUCUUUUACCCGGGAUGAUAAUGACAGUACCGGGAGAAUAAGCUCCGGCUAACUCCGU